GACGAACGCUGGCGGCGUGCUUAACACAUGCAAGUCGAACGGAAAGGCCCUGCUUUUGUGGGGUGCUCGAGUGGCGAACGGGUGAGUAACACGUGAGUAACCUGCCCUUGACUUUGGGAUAACUUCAGGAAACUGGGGCUAAUACCGGAUAGGAGCUCCUGCUGCAUGGUGGGGGUGGGAAAGUUUCGGCGGUUGGGGAUGGACUCGCGGCUUAUCAGCUUGUUGGUGGGGUAGUGGCUUACCAAGGCUUUGACGGGUAGCCGGCCUGAGAGGGUGACCGGCCACAUUGGGACUGGGAUACGGCCCAGACUCCUACGGGAGGCAGCAGUGGGGAAUAUUGCACAAUGGGCGGAAGCCUGAUGCAGCAACGCCGCGUGCUGGAUGACGGCCUUCGGGUUGUAAACCGCUUUCGCCUGUGACGAAGCGUGAGUGACGGUAAUGGGUAAAGAAGCACCGGCUAACUACGUG
rnacentral:rRNA from 1 species